rnacentral:rRNA from 1 species
GACGGUCUUGCUGUCACUUAUAGAUGGAUCCGCGCUGCAUUAGCUAGUUGGUAAGGUAACGGCUUACCAAGGCAACGAUGCAUAGCCGACCUGAGAGGGUGAUCGGCCACACUGGAACUGAGACACGGUCCAGACUCCUACGGGAGGCAGCAGUAGGGAAUCUUCCGCAAUGGGCGAAAGCCUGACGGAGCAACGCCGCGUGAGUGAUGAAGGUCUUCGGAUCGUAAAACUCUGUUAUUAGGGAAGAACAUAUGUGUAAGUAACUGUGCACAUCUUGACGGUACCUAAUCAGAAAGCCACGGCUAACUACGUGCCAGCAGCCGCGGUAAUACGUAGGUGGCAAGCGUUAUCCGGAAUUAUUGGGCGUAAAGCGCGCGUAGGCGGUUUUUUAAGUCUGAUGUGAAAGCCCACGGCUCAACCGUGGAGGGUCAUUGGAAACUGGAAAACUUGAGUGCAGAAGAGGAAAGUGGAAUUCCAUGUGUAGCGGUGAAAUGCGCAGAGAUAUGGAGGAACACCAGUGGCGAAGGCGACUUUCUGGUCUGUAACUGACGCUGAUGUGCGAAAGCGUGGGGAUCAAACAGGAUUAGAUACCCUGGUAGUCCACGCCGUA